rnacentral:rRNA from 1 species
CAGUAGCCGCGGUAAUACGAAGGGUGCAAGCGUUACUCGGAAUUACUGGGCGUAAAGCGUGCGUAGGUGGUGGUUUAAGUCCGUUGUGAAAGCCCUGGGCUCAACCUGGGAAUUGCAGUGGAUACUGGGUCACUAGAGUGUGGUAGAGGAUAGUGGAAUUUCCGGUGUAGCAGUGAAAUGCGUAGAGAUCGGAAGGAACAUCUGUGGCGAAGGCGACCACCUGGACUGAUACUGACACUGAGGUGCGAAAGCGUGGGGAGCAAACAGGAUUAGAUACCCCAGUAGUCCCUGUCUCUUAUAC